AUGUCUGUUCUUAUGCCAGUACUAUGCUGUUUUGAUUACUAUAGCUUUGCAAUAAAUUUUUAUUUUGAAAUCAGGAAGUGUGAAGCCUACAGGUUUAUUCUUUCUCAAGAUAGCUUUUUUGUUUGUUUGUUUAAGGUGGUUAGAUUCCAUGGGAACGCUGGCCAUUUGAAUAUGCGGCAAAUGGCGAUGACACGCUCUGAAUCGCCAGGUUUGCUGGAUCAGAAGAUUUCUUCAAACAACAAAGGCACGGGAUUAACGGAGUGCUGUUGAGAUGAAGUAGAGCCGCUCAAGUGCUAACAGAUUCAGGGAAGGGAAGGAAUGAAAGAUGAGCACUUGCGGAAUUAUUACGGGGCGUCAGAGCUGUGUGUGACGAUCAAGGUGAGUUGGUGCGAGCACAGGACCGGAAGCACGGGUGGUAGACCCAAGGUUACACUCGCUUGUUCUCUGCCUUCCUCUGUCCUUCUUUCCUUCUACCUCAUGUCUCUUUUUCUCUCUCUCUGCCUCUAAGCAUCUCUUAGCUUCUCUCUCUUUCUAUAGCUGGUUGACUCUGUUUAUCUACGGAUCUAACAGUUCAUUCCCUUUGUCGCCCCUUCUGUCCCAAGGUCUUGUUCUGACCGAGUGUCCCAGGCUCCGAAGGGCUGGAGCCAGGAUGACCAUCCUAAGGAGUGAGUGACUGACGGCAGGGACCCCCCUGGGAGCAGGAGGAGGCUGCACGGAGGUGCUGGUCCCUCCCCUGGAAUAGGUAACUUGCUCAUGAGCAGAAAUAACCUUUUCAGCAGACAAUAUUUCUUUAAGUGCAUUCACACUCUCCUUCACAGUUUUUGUGAACUGUACCUAACAUUGUACCUUUAUAUACUUUUUCUUUUUUCUUUAAAUUAUCCUAAAUUUUGCCACAUUCCAAGUCUACAAUCCAUGGAACCAUGAGUUUGUGUGUAUUACAUAUUAUUUUUUAAGAUUCUAUUUUUUUGGUUUUGUUUUUUGUUUUUUUUUUUGUGGAAAAUUAGCCCUGAGCUAACAUAUGCUGCCAAUCCUCCUCUUUUUGCUGAGGAAGACUGGCCCUGAGCUAACAUCCAUG
rnacentral:lncRNA from 1 species